UACGGAGGGUGCAAGCGUUUAUCCGGAUUCACUGGGUUUAAAGGGUGCGUAGGCGGGCAGGUAAGUCAGUGGUGAAAUCUCCGGGCUUAACCCGGAAACUGCCGUUGAUACUAUCUGUCUUGAAUAUCGUGGAGGUAAGCGGAAUAUGUCAUGUAGCGGUGAAAUGCUUAGAUAUGACAUAGAACACCCAUUGCGAAGGCAGCUUACUACACGAUCAUUGACGCUGAGGCACGAAAGCGUGGGGAGCAAACAGG
rnacentral:rRNA from 1 species